rnacentral:rRNA from 1 species
AUUGAACGCUGGCGGCAGGCCUAACACCUGCAAGUCGAACGAGUGGCGGACGGGUGAGUAAUGUCUGGGAAACUGCCUGAUGUAGGGGGCUAACUACUGUCAACGGUCGCUAAUACCGCCUACCCUCCGCUGUUCCCAGCUGGGAUUAGCUUGUUGGUGGGGUAACGGCUCACCAAGGCGACGAUCCCUAGCUUGUCUGAGAGGAUGACCAGCCACACUGGAACUGAGACACGGUCCAGACUCCUACGGGAGGCAGCAGUGGGGAAUAUUGCACAAUGGGCGCAAGCCUGAUGCAGCCAUGCCGCUUGUAUGAAGAAGGCCUUCGGGUUGUAAAGUACUUUCAGCGGGGAGGCGUUACCCGCAGAAGAAGCACCGGCUAACUCCGUGCCAGCAGCCGCGGUAAUUC